rnacentral:misc_RNA from 1 species
GGGCAAGCUUGGGGUCGUCGGCGAGCUUGAAGUCCAGAUCGAAGCCACGGGUGCGGAGGGAGUUGAAGAAGAGGGAGUGGGAGGAGCGGAGGGCGAGGUCGUCGACGAGGACGAGGAUGCGGCGAUCGGUGGGGUUUUCGUCCGAGAAGGAGGUGGCGAGGAUGGGGAGAAGGGCGGCGAUCGCCAGCACGAGGGCGGCAAGCUUCGCCA